rnacentral:rRNA from 1 species
UACGUAGGCAGCAAGCGUUGUUCGGAGUUACUGGGCGUAAAGGGUGUGUAGGCGGCCUUCUAAGUUCGGUGUGAAAUCUCCCGGCUCAACCGGGAGGGUGCGCCGGAAACUGGCAGGCUAGAGUGUGGGAUGGGAAAGUGGAAUUCCUGGUGUAGCGGUGAAAUGCGUAGAUAUCAGGAGGAACACCGGUGGUGUAGACGGCUUUCUGGACCAUAACUGACGCUGAGACACGAAAGCGUGGGUAGCAAACGGG